UUUACAGCCGCCUGCCCGGAGCGGCCCCGCAACGGCCAGGGCCCCGCCGCCGCCGCCGCCGCCGCCAUGCCCGUGCGCUUCAGGGGACUGAGUGAAUAUAAGAGGAACUUCAAAUGGAAAAAGUCAGAUCUGUCAAAGUUUUGUAACCCUUCACAAGAGCAAAAAUCCUCAAGGGCUGGACUUCGAUCUGAUCAACUAGGAAUCACAAGAGAGCCAAACUUCAUUUCCAAGAGAAGGGUGCCUUACUUCAACCCACAGAUUUCAGAGUCCUUUGAAUGGAGAGGGGACAGCGAUUUGGAGGGAUAUUUGGAUGACGCUCCAGAAAUUGAAGGCGCUGGGCCUGCAGAGUCACACACAAAUAACCACAGUAAUGAUAGAAAUCUGGAAAACAUUGAAACACCUGAAGCACCCAGGCUUCCUAAAAAAAUUCGGUCCCACUCUGCAGAUUCUAGAAUUGAAUCAGCCAUCACCCUUGCAGAAAACAGUAGGAAGAAGUUGUCACCCCCAACUCCAGUGAAUCAAAAAGCAGUAUUUUUACCUCCCAAAAAGCACUUAGAAAAAAUGGAUAAUGGGUUUCAAAGAGUCCUGCAAAAGAAAUCAGGCAUGAAUAUUUCACCAUCAAAUAGUUUCCCCAGAAAUUCUGAAUAUCAAAGGCAGUUUUUAUGGAAAUCCCCCCCAAAAAACUCUCCAAUUCUUGCUGCUGACCAGGUUAUUCACAAUACAAGUAAAUCCAUUCCCCCGUUUAAGUCUUCCGCAAUUAUCCCUGAAACUGAAUAUGAGAGAAGUUUCAAAGUUUCUCCUCCAGCAGUGGGACCAAAACUGAGGUGUGAUUUGGAAGAGACAGAAUUUCCUGUAUGUGCACCAGUAAAUAUCUCCCCUGAAAGAAAGAAUGAAAGGAAAGAAACAUUCCUAAAGCCAGCGGGAGAUUCACCAAAACAAGGGAAAUCAGAAACAGAACAGAAACCAUCUAAACAAAAAAAUAAGCAACACAUUAUUCAAAAGCCCCUCUCUUUACAUACAAGUCUUGGGAAGGUGAACACUGAAUAUAGAUCAAAAUUUUUGUCCCCAGCUCAAUAUUUAUACAAAGAUGGAGCUUGGUCACGUAUCAGAAGAAACAUACCAGAUCAAGAUUCUCAAAACAUCCUAAAUUACAUGUGGUUUAUGGAGGUGAAGGAACUUCGAGAGAAAGCGGAGGCUUACAGGCAACGAGUACAGGGAACCCACUUCUCUCGGUAUCAUCUGAAUCAGAUUCUUUCAGAUAACAACAGACUUUGGGACGUGUCCUCAAAUUCCAGUUCCGAAGAAACCAUUAGUAACACCAUCAGAGCGCUAGAUCUAGCUGGAGCUCCUGAGAAACAGAUGUCUGCAAGCCAAAACGUGCUGCCACAACCUGACUCAAUAGAACAGUCCCAACAGAACAAUACAGAGAAGUUAGGCAUGUCAGAUGCCUCCACUGUACCAGUCAGAAGACGUCUAGCUUGGGGUGAACAAGACAGUACUGAACAAGUGGAAAAUCAGCCACCAGGAUUAGAGGAAGAUGAAGAAAAAGAAAAUAAACAGGAGUCAGCAAAGGCUCAGAAAUUGGAAGCAAAUGAUAAGAAUCCUACUGUGGACAACAAAAUAAAAGGAGAAAAUGCCUCGUUACUGAAGCCUUCAGCAGAUAGGUCAGAUUCUUCUUCAGUAUCAUCAGGAAAGCGGGGCAGGCUUUCUACUCCAAAGUUGAAAACACUUGGUGGAGCCCAAAGAACUCAUCAUGAUCUUACCACGCCAGCUGUUGGAGGUGCAGUUUUAGUGUCUCCAUCUAAAAUGAAGUCUUCGUCCCCACAGCAGAGAAAGAAGAAGUCUUUAGAAACACACUAUUCUUCAUCCAAACAAGCCUCAGGAGAAAGAAAAUCCAGAGGGUUUGAAGGGGAAACAGAAGCUGUAUCACUACUUGCCUCCCCAGCUGCUGGAUUGAAAACAUUAGAUCCUUUGCCUCUGCGGAAGGAUUCUUGGCCCACUGUCAAUACUUCUGAUGAAAGAGCUUCUCCCACUUCAGCACAUCCAACUACAGCUCCUGUGCAGAAAUCAGUCAAAAGUACUAGUCCCUCCUACUGGAGUCCAUGCUGUCGCAUUCAAGGGACUCUCAGGGAUCCAGAGUUCCAGCAUAAUGGUUGUUUUUUUUUUAAAUAGGAAUUUUCCAUCCACUGAGUUUGUGUGGUAAUUGCUGUCUUGCAAAUGUGCAGGGCCCAAAAUGUUGUCACUUCAACAAAGAAUGACUGCCUAUUGCAGAGAAACUCUUCUCUACCAGAAUGUUUCAUCUUGCUAGAACUGUACUAUUCUCCACCUUAAUGAGAUACUUUGAGUUACACUGUUAUGGGGAGAUCUGGCCUUUGUUCUAUGCUUAGGUUCCAGUAACUAUCUGUCUAAUAGAGCUUUCUUGAUUUUAGUAAGGAAUUACUAGGUACCUCAAAUAAUUGGUUCUGUGUGAACAGUUUUGUUAUCUCUUCUGUAGGCAGCAGGGGGAAAACCUAGUACAUUUCCCUGUUGGGUUACUCACACAGAUGAGUAAUUGGACACCUCCACAGCAACAUCAUACCGCUCUACAGUACACCCUGUGUAGGGAGAAGAGCAAGGACAGUAGGCUAGGUGUGGUACAACACUUAUUUUCCCCUUUCACUAUAGCUUUCGAAGGGCAAUCAGCUGAAAAGCUGAGGCUGUGAUGUUUACACGCCCUUUUAUGUGCUGUGGAGCACCCACCUUUGUAGGGCUGGUAUGUUCAGGAGAGAGUUGCUGGCAGAUGAAAAUCUGUCGUUAUAGUCCCAUCUGUGAGGAUGGCCCUGGCCUCUACAGAAUCACCAGACAUCUAUGUGGAUUUUGAGAGAACUGUAGAUUUUUGAGGACCCUUGUGUGUGGAAUGGGAGAGAAGGGGACAAUCCAGCCUUCUCUAUCUUUAAAAGGUCUGUUGGAAUCUCAGCAGCAUUUCCUGGUCCCUGUGGCUGUGUCAACACUGCACAGGAACAUUGCGAGUCCAAAGAUGAGCCAUCUCCAGUUACCGCUGCAGGAAAGAAACUAUAAUGAUGAAGAUGACAGAUUGUCCCAGAUCUCUGCUCGCU